rnacentral:rRNA from 1 species
AAAUUGAAGAGUUUGAUCAUGGCUCAGAUUGAACGCUGGCGGCAGGCCUAACACAUGCAAGUCGAACGGUAACAGGAAGCAGCUUGCUGCUUCGCUGACGAGUGGCGGACGGGUGAGUAAUGUCUGGGAAGCUGCCUGAUGGAGGGGGAUAACUACUGGAAACGGUAGCUAAUACCGCAUAACGUCGCAAGACCAAAGAGGGGGACCUUCGGGCCUCUUGCCAUCGGAUGUGCCCAGAUGGGAUUAGCUUGUUGGUGGGGUAACGGCUCACC